GAUGAACGCCAGCUACAGGCUUAACACAUGCAAGUCGAGGGGUAACGAGAGGAAAGCUUGCUUUCCUUGUCGACGACCGGCGCACGGGUGAGUAACGCGUAUCCAACCUGCCCCCAACUAGGGAAUAACCUUGCGAAAGUAAGACUAAUACCCUAUAAUUUCCACAGAUGCCAUCUGACGAGGAAUAAAGAUUUAUCGGUUGUGGAUGGGGAUGCGUCUGAUUAGCUUGUUGGCGGGGUAACGGCCCACCAAGGCAACGAUCAGUAGGGGUCCUGAGAGGAAGGUCCCCCACAUUGGAACUGAGACACGGUCCAAACUCCUACGGGAGGCAGCAGUGAGGAAUAUUGGUCAAUGGGCGGAAGCCUGAACCAGCCAAGUAGCGUGCAGGAUGACGGCCCUAUGGGUUGUAAACUGCUUUUAUACAGGAAUAAAGUUAGCCACGUGUGGUUAUUUGUAGGUACUGUAUGAAUAAGGACCGGCUAAUUCCGUGCCAGCCGCCGCAGUAA
rnacentral:rRNA from 1 species